CCUACGGGAGGCAGCAGUGAGGAAUAUUGGUCAAUGGACGUGAGUCUGAACCAGCCAAGUCGCGUGAAGGAUGACUGCCCUAUGGGUUGUAAACUUCUUUUAUAUGGGAAUAAAACGUUCCACGUGUGGGAUUUUGUAUGUACCAUAUGAAUAAGGAUCGGCUAACUCCGUGCCAGCAGCCGCGGUAAUACGGAGGAUCCGAGCGUUAUCCGGAUUUAUUGGGUUUAAAGGGUGCGUAGGUGGAUUGUUAAGUCAGUGGUGAAAGUUUGCGGCUCAACCGUAAAAUUGCAGUUGAAACUGGCAGGCUUGAGUAUGGUAGAGGUGGGCGGAAUGCGUGGUGUAGCGGUGAAAUGCUUAGAUAUCACGAAGAACUCCGAUUGCGAAGGCAGUUCACUAAGCUGCAACUGACACUGAGGCACGAAAGUGUGGGGAUCAAACAGGAUUAGAUACCCGUGUAGUC
rnacentral:rRNA from 1 species